ACUGGGGCGGGGGGGAAUCCCUCAGCCUGGAUAGUGAGAGGGUGCAGGCCAGGCCAAGGGACCCCACUGGUGCAUG
rnacentral:pre_miRNA from 1 species